rnacentral:rRNA from 1 species
CCUACGGGAGGCAGCAGUGAGGAAUAUUGGUCAAUGGGCGCGAGCCUGAACCAGCCAAGUAGCGUGAGGGAUGACUGCCCUACGUGUUGUAAACUUCUUUUAUAAAGGAAUAAAGUGAGGCACGUGUGCCUUUUUGUAUGUCCUUUAUGAAUAAGGAUCGGCUAACUCCGUGCCAGCAGCCGCGGUAAUACGGAGGAUCCGAGCGUUAUCCGGAUUUAUUGGGUUUAAAGGGAGCGUAGAUGGGUGUGUAAGUCAGUUGGGAAAGUUUGCGGCUCAACCGCAAAAUUGCAAUUGAUACUGGCAGGCUUGAGUACAGGUGAGGUAGGCGGAAUUCGUGGUGUAGCGGUGAAAUGCUUAGAUAUCACGAAGAACUCCGAUUGCGAAGGCAGCUUACUAAACUGCCACUGACAUUGAUGCUCGAAAGUGUGGGUAUCAAACAGGAUUAGAUACCCCAGUAGUC